rnacentral:rRNA from 1 species
UGAAUACGAGACGCUAAGGCGUCGAAGUAGUGUAUGUCAUACUUCCAAGAAAAGCUUGCACUGUCAUAAGUAAAAAAUGCCUGUACAUAACCGACACAGGUGGGUAGGUAGAGUAUACUAAGGGGCGCGAGAUAACUCUCUCUAAGGAACUCGGCAAAAUAACUCCGUAACUUCGGGAGAAGGAGUACCUUAUUCUAUAAGGUUGCAAUAACAAGAUCCAAGCAACUGUUUAUCAAAAACACAGGUCUCCGCUAAGUCGUAAGACGAUGUAUGGGGGCUGACGCCUGCCCAGUGCCAGAAGGUUAAAGAAGUCGGUUAGCAUUAGCGAAGCUGGUAACUGAAGCCCUGGUGAACGGCGGCCGUAACUAUAACGGUCCUAAGGUAGCGAAAUUCCUUGUCGGGUAAGUUCCGACCCGCACGAAAGGCGUAAUGAUUUGGAUACUGUCUCGGAGAGGGGCUCGGUGAAAUAGACUUGUCUGUGAAGAUGCGGACUACCUGCACCAGGACAGAAAGACCCUAUGAAGCUUUACUGUAACUUGAAAUUGAAAUUGGACUUUAUUCGCGCAGUAUAGGUGGGAGGUGUUGAUUAUAAUCUUGCGGGAUUAUUGGAGCCAUCAGUGAGAUACCACUCUUGUAAUGUUAGAUUUCUAACUUUGAAUCAUUAUCUGGUCAAAGGACAGUUUCAGGCGGGCAGUUUGACUGGGGCGGUCGCCUCCCAAACGGUAACGGAGGCGUACAAAGGUUUCCUCUGAACGGGUAGAAAUCGUAUCUAGAGUGUAAAGGCAUAAGGAAGCUUGACUGUGAGACCUACAAGUCGAACAGGGACGAAAGUCGGUCUUAGUGAUCUGACGGUACUGAGUGGAAAGGCCGUCACUCAACGGAUAAAAGUUACUCUAAGGAUAACAGGCUGAUCUCCCCCAAGAGUUCACAUAGACGGGGAGGUUUGGCACCUCGAUGUCGGCUCAUCGCAUCCUGGGGCGGUAGUACGUCCCAAGGGUUGGGCUGUUCGCCCAUGAAAGCGGUACGCGAGCUGGGUUCAGAACGUCGUGAGACAGUUCGGUCCAUAUCCGGUGUAGGCGUUAGAAUAUUGAGAGGAGCCUUUUUUAGUACGAGAGGACCGAGAAGGACAUACCUCUGGUGUACCAGUUAUCGUGCCAACGGUAAACGCUGGGUAGCUAUGUAUGGAGUGGAUAACCGCUGAAAGCAUCUAAGUGGGAAGCCCACCUCAAGAUAAGUAUUCUCC